UGGGGAAUAUUGCACAAUGGGCGCAAGCCUGAUGCAGCCAUGCCGCGUGUGUGAAGAAGGCCUUCGGGUUGUAAAGCACUUUCAGCGAGGAGGAAGGGUUCAGUGUUAAUAGCACUGUUCAUUGACGUUACUCGCAGAAGAAGCACCGGCUAACUCCGUGCCAGCAGCCGCGGUAAUACGGAGGGUGCAAGCGUUAAUCGGAAUUACUGGGCGUAAAGCGCACGCAGGCGGUUUGUUAAGUCAGAUGUGAAAUCCCCGCGCUUAACGUGGGAACUGCAUUUGAAACUGGCAAGCUAGAGUCUUGUAGAGGGGGGUGAGAAUUCCAGGUGUAGCGGUGAAAUGCGUAGAGAUCUGGAGGAAUACCGGUGGCGAAGGCGGCCCCCCUGGACAAAGACUGACGCUCAGGUGCGAAAGCG
rnacentral:rRNA from 1 species